CACAUUUCUAACCCAUUGUACCCACACAGCAGCCAGAAUGGUACUUCAUAACACAAACAUGACCUCUUGCCUAAAAUCAUUCAGAGGUGCCCAUUGCUUUUAGAAAAAUCUAAAUUCCUUAACAUGUCUUAACAUGCUGUUAUCUCCAUUUCUACAGCCUUGUUUCCACCCACUUCUCAUGUUCAUUCUGUUUCCAGUUGCUCUGAGUAUCUUUCAACUUCUUGAACACAGCAGGCUGUUUCAUCUCUGGGCUGCUACGGUACACUGUGCCAAGCUGACAACACUGUUUAUGGCUGUGGGUCACCAGCUCCCUGAGACCUGCUCCUCUGCACCUCCCUAAAGGCUAAGAGACUCAAUAUCUCUCUCACUCGAACCCAUCAGCUCCACAGCAAAGUUCCUGGUAUCUCUUUUGGGAAAUAUCCUGCCAUUGGGAAAGAAAGGAGAACAGGAAUUGAUGAAGAAAAGGGAGAAAAGGGGACAAAAAGAAGACAAAAGAAGAAUAGAAGCAGAAGAGUACGGUAUUCUAAGUGAAGGAAGAACCUUUUUAAAGAGGGAGUGAACCAAAAAGACUUGACAGCUAUUGAGAAUUCCAAUUGUGUGGGAGCUAAGGAGAGGGCACUGGUUAGGGCAAUGUCCUCCCUGGUUUUGCGUUAGAGGCAGUUUGAGUAGUAGAGGGGCAUAGAAGGCAGAUUAGGCAGUGACAGGGAAGUAUGGAAGCGGUGUGUGUGGUUUGCUGCACUUAGACAAACCUUGUGGGGGAAGGUAGAAAAGCAAUGGGCUGGAAUGGGUGGCAAUGACACUUUGGGGAUUUGAAGACCUGCCUGAGUUUGUAUGCAGAUUGAGGGGAAGAUAUAAGAGGAAAGAAUGGAACUGAAAACAUAAAAGACAAAAGGAAAUAAUUGACAAAGCAAAAUUCAGGCAACCAGGAAAGAACGGGAUCAAAUGUAUGUAGACAGAUUAAACUUGGUUAAGAAUAUACUUUUCUUUGAAUAGACAGAAAGGAGGAACAUAUUGAUAAAUGGUAGAGGGAGAUUUUGAAGGGUGCUGAAGACCUGAGAGAGUAUUCUCACUCAAUAGCUUUUGUUUUCUCUGUAAAAUAUGAUGUGAGAAGGAUGGUGAUCAUUCAGCAAUUCCUACUGGGGAAAAGGACAGACAACAACGUGGAGUGAGAGUGGGGUCAGAUGACUGUAUCAAUCAUGUGCUCAACACUGUGCUAGGUGCUGUAGGGGAUAUAAAAUAUGUAUCAUGUGAUUCCUGCCCUCAAAGGGAAACACACACACACACACACACACACACACACACACAGACACACACACACUCUCUCUCUCAAACCUAUAAGGGUAAGGGAAUCUUUUUGAGUUAAACUAUGAUUUGCUGAAAAGCAUAAUAAAAGUCCUAGGUAAGAAUUGGAGAGGGGGCAGUAAAGACAUUGAGAAAAGCUUUAUGCAUUAUUUGGAUAAACAGAGGAACAGAUUGUAGGAAGCAACAGAACCCAGCAUGAGCAUGGCAUGCACACCAGCUAGUUGGGAGAUCAUGAGAUAGUAGAGGAAAUGAGUGAUGGGAAGAGGAAGGCAACAUGACUGAAUAGAUAGGAAAGAACCAGAGUAUAGAGCACUGGUAGAAAGGAUGGAGGUGCAUGAAGAUUAAUUAGGUAUUUACCUGCAGGAUGAAGGAGAGUGUGGAGAUAAUAGAAAUAGAAAAAUAAUAAGGCAGGAAACGGUUGCAGCAAACCAGAUGUGAGGUUAUGCAAGAGUAAUGCCAGUGCCAGAGUAAAGAGAAAGGGAUGAAUCUGAGAGAUAUUCUGAAGGAAGAUUUGCUAAAAUAAUGUGACAGAUUGGAUAUUGAUUGGGAGGAAAGAAAAGAGUAACAUGUGCCUUUAGGUUUUUACUUCUGGGAGAUAGAAAAAUGAUGCUGACGUUGAAAUAAAACAUCUGUGAAAGCAAGGCAGAUUGGGGCUUUUUGAAGUUUGGUGGGACAGCAGUGAAUAUUAUUGGUAGGUUUUUGGCAUUUCAAGUCUAUAGGGAGAAAGGAUAGAGGUUUAUAAUUUGGAUUAUCACCAAAAGGUCAUAAAUGAAGCUUUGGGGAAAAAAAAAAAGCUCUUUGAGAAAAUGUGUGGAAGUACAGAGGAUCAGAGUGAGGGUUUAAGUCUUAAGGGGCAUUUCCAGUUAGAAAUCAGGAGGAGCCAUCGAGACUGCCUAAAAGGUAGAAUAACUGGCCAGAGCAUUUGGGGAACUAAUGAAUUGACAUGCUCUGAAACAAAAAAGAGAAGAAAACUGCAAGGAGCAUAAGAUUUAAUUGCAGUAAAAGUUUUGAAUAAAUAAAAUAUAUAAAAGUCCAUUGAAUUUGACCAAAAGGAGAUGAUUUUAAACCUUUCAGAGAUCAAUUUCAGUGAAGUGGUAGUAGAUGAGAAUGAAGGCACCAGGUAGAGAGAUAGUUGGUGUAUAAAUAUGCCCAACUCUCUCUGAAGGAGAGUAUAUUAGAAUUUCUAAGAUAGCCCUGAGAAAGUACUUUAGUGAUCACCGCUGAAAUUGAUGGAGUGCUGCAGUAGACCCCGAUGUCCCCAAACCCCUCAGUCAUCCAGAGUAGCUCCAUUUUAUAUUAUAUGUAUAUGUAUGUGAGCAGAUGCGCCUGUGUGUAUGUGUGUGUUCACACAUAUAUAGAUUUAAGAAUUUCAUAUAUUUUAUCGGAAGAGGUGCUUUAUGCUAAAAUAAAACAAACACUUAAUAAUCUGCUCUAGAAUUUUGGAAAUCAAUUAAAAAAUACUAGAUGAGUGCUGCCAAGGAUUAUGGGGUAAUUUUAAAACAGGAUAUUAAUAACUCCCAAUAUGUUAGAAAAAAUAGGCUGUGGAUUCAUAGAUCUCUCAUUUUUAACUUUGGUUCUAUUGACUAGCUAUGCAUGUGAGUUACUUAACCUCUCUUAACCUCAGUUUUCUCCGGUCUGAAAUGUACCAAGUGGUAUUUGCUGCAUAGUGUGAUUGUUAGGAUUCACCAGGAGUAGACAAGGGUACUGGUUUCUUUUGUCUCAAAUUUCCCUUUCAGUGAAUGUGGUCUUUACAAACCAAACACUCAACCACACAGAAGAUGAAAUUGGAUGUUCUAUAAUUAAGCUUUGUCUUCAGCUCCCAUCUCUACUGAUGGCAGAAAAUUUACUCAUUUCCAGAUGAACCCAACAGUUUAGUUUUCUUAGACAUUUUACGAUUAAACCCAGGUAAACUCGUGAUUUACGUCUUCACACAUUUUCCUCAGUGUAACUUCAAAGAUCCCACAGAUGUCUCUUGGCUUCUGGGUCAGGCGUUUAGUCCAUGGUCAGUUUGUUCAUCAUUGGCAUCCAUUGGGAUUUGUUCUCUUGUCUGUCCCCGGAGUGCUUGCCGUCCGCCAUGCGCGCACUGGCUGAUGUGUAAACAUGUUCUGUGGGGUAAUCCAGGCUGAAUCUUCCAUGGGGUGGUGGCAUCUUCUUACCCUGACCAAGCCUUUCCUAUCUCUUCACAAAAUCUUUCUACCAGCUGAAAUAUAUUUGCCUUCUCACGGACGUGUGAAAAUGUGACUGUCUCUUGGCAACAGGCUGAGAUUUGCAUCUGUUUGGGAGACCACCCUGAGCUCCUUUGGACUUCAUGUAGACUCAUUGCUAAUCUACCUCUCAGGUACCCUAUUAGAUACUUUUUCCCCAAACAUAUUGUCCUUCCAGACUACAUUUUGGGAAGGUAAAACUCUGCUCUUGAAUUUACAAAUCUAGCUGAAAUUUCUCUGCUUUUCCCCUCUGGGAAACAAUAGGAAAAAGAGAGCAGCUUACAGAGAAUUUGGAGUUUUUUCAGACUUACAUCAAUGCUCAGAAUCUAUUGCUCUUGCUUCUCCUCACCUUGCCCUAAAUGCACCUUUUUUCUUCAGGCUUUUGUAUGUUUUUCUGGUGUGGGAAAACACACUGGUUGCCCCUGGUCAUGGAUAUUUACAAAACUUUUCUGCUUCAGCCGGAUCUACAGUAGGGAAAAUGUCUUUGGAUGUUUUGCUACCUUAGCAAUCUACUUGUAACCUGGCCUUUGAUUGUGCUGGACAAGUUGGUUGAACGAGGGCCUGUCAAGCUGUUCAGGAGAGGCUGGGGCCCAGUUUUAUGCCAACUGAUGGCUCUGUAGUCUUCCCUGAGUAUUGUGCUUUCCUUUUGUUUUGUUUGUUUUUACAUUAAGCUACUUACACAGGCGUGGCUCACGAAGGAAAUGAAUUAACUUGGAUCUUGGAGGUUUGAAAGCUAAUUACAGGGAAGUUUGAGGAUACUGCAGCAGCCUUAGCCACUCUGCCCACCUGGUCCUGUCAUGCUAGUAUAAUUUGGUUCUUCUGUCAACUUUUUAAGCACAGAUUGCUAACUAGGUAGAUUAAUAAUCAUUCAAAAUGGAAUAUCCCUAUUGGGCUGCUUUCAAUUCAGUCACAGUUUUCUGGUAUAAUCAUCUAACACCAGAAUAGCUGAGAAAACUACCUGUAGCAGCUUCCCUCAGAAAGGGGAACAGAAACUGGUUAUUAUUUUGAAAGCUUCUGGACUACCCCCAGAAACUGUGAUGGUGGAAAAAUACAAGCUUUUUUGAUCUGUGGAAACUUCUCCUCAUCCUGGCAUUCUCUCUCUGUCUCUAAUACACACACACACACACAUGCACACACACACACAGACACACUCCUUCCCAUGUGUUUAAGCAAUAUAGAGUCAUCACCCCUCUUGGUGCUAUAGCACUGGGAGAAAGUCACCCUUGAGUUUGGCCUUAAUUCUAGUUAUCUAAACAGUUUGCUCUGCAGGACUUUCUGUCUCUUUCAGGACCGACUCUGGGCCUAACUCAGUAGUAUUUAUAUUUGCCUAUAACUAUGUAAUUCAUCCAGGGUUCAUACUAAGCAACAUAAAAUAAGUUUAUGAUCCCUUAUUUCUUAGAAGUCUCUUUUCAUGAAAAAGGCACCUGCCUCCACCAUCCAAAUGGAUAGUUGUUUUUUUGUUUCUGUUUUUCCAUAACUAGUAGGGAUACUGCUCUAUAAAGAUUUUGAGAACUCACUUUCCUUACUGUUCCAGGCUUUUGGGAAAAUAUAUGGAAUAUUGACAUGAACUUCCUAGAUUUUUCUCUGCUAGAGAACUAGUGCAUUCAAACUCAUAUGUUUUGAUGUCUUUGGUUUAAAAAAGGUUUGUUUGUUAGAUCUUUUUAAAAAGAAAAAAACAAAACAAAACAGACCACAGGUUUAUUUAUGUUAAAACUCCAAGGGCAAGGCAAAGGGAGAAAGAAAAGUCACUGGGAAUAAGCCUAGUCCUGAAAAAAUAAUGAAGAUACACAUUCUAGUCCUCAGAGAAGUAAGCUUGUUUUUAUUUUUAUUUUUUGAGAUGGAGUCUCACUCUAUCACCCAGGCUAGAGUGUAGUGGCAUGAUCUCGGCUCACUGCAACCUCUGCCUCCCAGAUUCAAGGAAUUCUCCUGCCUCAGCCUCCUGAGCAGCUGGAUCUACAGGCACCACCACCAUGCCCGGCUAAUUUUUUUUAUUUUUAGUAGAGACGGGGUUUCACCAUCUUGGCCAGGUUGGUCUCAAACUCCUGACCUUGUGAUCCACCCGCCUCGGCCUCCCAAAGUGCUGGGAUUACAGGCGUGAGCCACAGCGCCCAGCCGUAAGCUUAUUUUUAAAAGAAAGAAUGUUUUUGUCUCUUCUAUGAGUGGAAGAAUGAAAGCUCAGAGAAACUGGUUAUAAAGACUGAGGUAAAGCCAGAGUGUUGAGGGCUCAUCCCUUGGAGAGCUUUACUCUCUUCUUCAGAAGACGCAUGAGAAAGCAAGAGGAGCAUGGGCUUCAGUGUUAAACUGUAACAUUUUAUAUUUUGCAUGACACAAGUGAAAACUGGAACCAUCAUAAUUUCCUGCCCCAGUGGUAAACAACCCCGGAAAAAAGAAAAUUUAACCCAGUUGUGUGCUCUAGAAAAUACUUGCUACUGGAAGAUAAGUCUGUGACCCAGUGAAAAUUGUAUAAUAAUUUGCUCAUCAAGACUCAAUUUAGGUGAGAACCUCUCUUUGCUGUGCCCACAAAUCCAAAUCUAUCAUGUCAUAAAUUCCACCCAUUCCCAACCAGUUCUCCACCUAUCCAUACUUGCCUUAAAGUUAUCCAAUGUAGAUCUUAAAAAACCUAUAACCAUCCCUGUCCCUUAAUUCCCCAAAUGAAGAUGCAACUGAAAUUUCAUAAAGUUAGCCCUUUGUGCAGUAGAUCUAGGAAACUUAGCUAUGCUUUAUCAACAGGUACAUCUGGUGGUUUUUAGGCCAUCGCUGUUUAACCCAAACUGGAUUUCAAUUGCUCCUUUACAUAGAUAAUUCAUUUAGCUGAUUUUUGCAGAUAAAAUGUUCAUAAACCCGUUUUUCCCCAAUAAUACAUUUAUAUAUUGAUUUCAUGGUAACACAAAUAAAACUCACAUGAAGCAGCAAUGCAUUAAUAAUGUUCAAAUAUUCUGAAUUUCUUAUAAGUCCUAUUAUAAGGUGUUUAUUAUAAUCUACUUCUAAGCUUUACAUAUGAAACAAUCUAGAUGCUUGCAAGGUAUCCUUAAUGGGGUGUUCUCUAGUCUACACCUACUUCCUCUAUAACCUUGGAUAAUUUGCUUACCUUCUCAGAGCUUCAAUUUUCUCAUUAGUGAAAUGGGAGUAAUUACUACAUCAGAAAGGUAUUGAGAGGAUUAAAGGAGCUCAUGUAGGUAAAGAUCUUAGAAUAAUCCCUAGCAUAUGGUACCAAUAUAAUCAGUGUUGGUUUCCUUCUUUCUUUGGUAUAUUUCCUUCUUUAAAAUAGGAGAUGGGUCAUGUGUGAAGAAUAAGCAGAUCUGGUUCUCAUUUUUCUAUGUUGCUGGGCAGAGAAUAGAGGGAAUCCCUGCCCCUGCCCAGCAAACAUCCAGUGUCCUUAAGUUUAUUUUCACUGUGGGAGAGGAAGGUAGAAAUUCAGUAGUGAAUGAUGGGAUAGCAAUAAAAUAUUCCAUUGCCCCUUAACUACUGGGAAAUGGCGCCUCUUCGUAUUUUAGUUAGGAGACACAAAAUUAAAUUCCUUUUUUUGUAGUUGAUAUUUUCUAUUACAUGUAGUAUUCUUUAUAAACACUAAGAAUUUGGACUACAAAUGGCUAUAAAUAUCUUUAAAUAUUCAAAUUAUGAAUUUAACCUAUUUCUUAAUGUAAAUUUUAAUUAUUCUUAUGUCUGGCUUAACAUGGGCUAAUAACCAUUGGGAAAAUGAGAUGCUGCAAUAUUUUUGCAUUCGAGUUUUAGAAUGUUUUCUUUACUAGAAUUUCCCUUUCUUUCCCUCUGUUAUUUUUUAAUCCAUCUGCCUCUUUCCCCCAAACACAUAUCUGUCCCUGAACACACACACACACACACACACACACACACACACACACACACACCUGUCUUUCUUUUAUUCCAUUCUUUCAUGUCACUGAUUUUACAGAAUCUAUGCUUAGGCAGUCUGGAAAGCCACAAUCUAAAGACAGAUUCCAUCAAGCUCCUAUCUGUUAGAACCUGCAGUGCUUGCAUUUGGAUUCGAUAUCUAACAAUAAUGUGGUAUUUUAUAAACAUUAGUGAGGAUGAUUUUGCACUGGUCAGCAAAGGUAAAAAAAUAGGUGCUUUGGGAAAACAAAUAAAAAAGGAAUUGGAUCUGUCUCAAUAAAUUGCACAAAUUGUAAAUAUCCCAAAGAUGCAGCCACUAACUCUGGCAUAGGAAAAUAAAGCUGACAAUUACACUUUGGAAUGAAUAGGUGAGUAAUACGAUGGCUAAAAAUUUUCUUUACAAUCAUUUUUUAUUAAGUGCAGCACUGCAUUUAUUUAUUAAACAAAGUUUCUGUUUCAUCUGCCUGUUCAAUUCCUCAGAUACUAUUUUAAUAAGGUCAAUUAAGAUUUACAUUCAAGUCAUGAUUUUUUCCCCAUUCUGGUUUGAGUCUAUAGAUAUACUUGUUCCAUCAAUUUAAACAUAAUUAUAGAAUAAUCUUUCACAAAUAUUACAGUUAAUAGCAUUGGGGCAUUUAUAAACUCUAGUCCUUAAUUUAUGCACAUUAAAAUUUCAUUUGAAAUGAAAGAAUGUUGAAUAGUCAAGUAUAUUUUUAAAUCAUCCUAUAGUGUUUCUAACACAGUUUGCACCGAAGCCCUAGAAUUGGCCAUGGUUGGUUGGGAUUGCAUGACCUGGACAAAGAAGUCGCUUGAAAUGAAUUAUUACUGCCUUUAGCAAAGUAAAACUUAGUUUGAUUAUGCACUACACAUUCCUCUUUGGUUUUAGAGAUCAGAACCUGACAUUUUACUCAGGCUAGGAUCUGAACAGAGUUUUGUCUAAUGGGAAAACUGACAGUCCUUUUAAGUUUUACAGGUACAUGUUGUAAUGCAGAAACUCUAUGUACAGAAAUAUACCAUUACAAAAUUGAUAAUUCAGGGCAUUGUUCUGACAUGAAUUAAAUGAAUUAUCACAUCAGAGAAUUUCUGUUUUCCUCAUUGAAUAGAGAGACCUAAAAAUCUUCUGCUUACAUCAGCAUAUAGGGCAAAUAUAAUUGUCUAUUAGUUUAUUUACAGUUGUAUAAGUUCCAACAAAUGGGGAUGGAGCAAAAUAAAUUUAUUGCUGUAUUUUGAGAGACUAUCUCUUAUUUUUGAAUAUUUUCCAAUGUGUAUUCUCCAUCAAACUCUUUUAUUUCUUUGUGUCAGAGCUUUCCACAAAUUAUAGUGAAAUGCAGUCUCAUAAACCAAAAAGAAGAAAGGUUAUUCUGUUGUAGGAUGUUAGGACGGAGAGAAUGUAGAACUUACAAUUUGGAACAGUGUGGUUUGUUUGAUUAAAAUGUCUUUCGUUUGCUUUAUGCCUUUAAAAUAAUGUUUAAAAUAUUCGAAAAAACUUAGAAAACUUUGCACAAUAUUGACUUUUAACAUUAAUUCGGUUACAUUUUCAGUAUACUAUUUUUAACAUUGUGGCAUUUAUAGAAGUAAUUUGACUACAUGUGUGGCACUAGAUGUUUUCAAGGCUCACAUAUCUAGUUUCAUGAUUAAAAUUGAAGGAUAAUUAAAUUCAAUAAACAUUGUGUUAAUAUCUUUUUAGAAAUGCAUUUAUUUUGGCAAAAUAAAAUUCAACUGUCUAUCUAUCUAUCUAUCUAUCUAUCUAUCUAUCUAUCUAUCUAUCACCUAUCUGUCUGCCUUUCUCUAAAAACAUCCUAGAGUAGCUCUGCAACUUGGUAAAAAUAUUUUAACUUCAUAUGCUACGAAUUUGAUUUUCCUUGUAUUAACUACACAUGUAAUUAGAUUUUUUUCUUUCCAAAUCAUCUUUCCAAAUUCUAUUAUCAUUUUCUUUGGGACACUGAUUUUGUACUGUUAAGUGAAAGAACCAAAUUACAACUCUUAACUUUAUGUACUUUAUGUGCUUAAUUGUAAUAUCAUUUAUUGAUAAGUGAGCAUAUAUCCUAUGUAGUCCAG
rnacentral:lncRNA from 10 species